CCCCAUAGGAGAAGUAGACCUCAAUCUUUCAUCUCCCUCUAUUUUGCAAAUCGUUCGGUGAAAUCGAAUUCUAGACGCGUACUCCCCGAUGACUUGAGGCGAAGGAACCUAUAGUGCAUUUUGGAGACAAAGGAGUGAACCUAGAAGGUAGAGAAGUAUCAAGGUGAAAUAUGCUUAUGUUCAUAAGCCUAAGAGGUUAGAGUUGAUAGUAUGUCAGUGUGGUUGGGCAGCUUUGCAAUUUUUGGCGGGUCACUGGUGAUCAACAUGGUUAAAAGUCGUGGCAUGUUGUAUAAUAGUUCAAUCUUUGAUCUUUCGCUGGAUAAAUGUUAAGUUUUUAAUUGUAAUAGUUUUUAAUUGCUCUUUU